rnacentral:rRNA from 1 species
UACAGAGGGUGCGAGCGUUGUUCGGAAUUAUUGGGCGUAAAGAGCUCGUAGGCGGUUUGUCACGUCUGCUGUGAAAACUGGAGGCUCAACCUCCAGCCUGCAGUGGGUACGGGCAGACUAGAGUGCGGUAGGGGAGAUUGGAAUUCCUGGUGUAGCGGUGGAAUGCGCAGAUAUCAGGAGGAACACCGAUGGCGAAGGCAGAUCUCUGGGCCGUAACUGACGCUGAGGAGCGAAAGCAUGGGGAGCGAACAGG